ensembl:lncRNA
GUGACCAUGUCCGGCGGACAGGAAUAACAGCAAGUGACCAUGUCCGACGGACAGGAAUAACAGCAGGUGACCAUGUCCGACGGACAGGAAUAACAGCAGGUGACCAUGUCCGGCGGACAGGAAUAACAGCAGGUGACCAUGUCCGACGGACAGGAAUAACAGCAAGUGACCAUGUCCGACGGACAGGAAUAACAGAAAGUGACCAUGUCCGGCAGACAGGAAUAACAGCAGGUGACCAUGUCCGACGGACAGGAAUAACAGCAGGUGACCAUGUCCGACGGACAGGAAUAACAGCAGGUGACCAUGUCCGACAGACAGAUGGACAGGAAUAACAGCAGGUGAUAAUGCCUGCAAAAAUGCUGCUCUGGUCUUCUACUCCCCCUCAUCCACUUCUUAAAACACUAGGUUCCACGAAGACAAGGAAAUAACAUAUAGGUGGUUGAAUGGACAUAUACGUAGGUACAUGUCAACAUUAUCAUAUAGGUGGUUGAACGGAGUUCUACCUGUGUGUACAUGUU